UUGACGGGGGCCCGCACAAGCGGUGGAGCAUGUGGUUUAAUUCGAUGCAACGCGAAGAACCUUACCUGGUCUUGACAUCCACGGAAGUUUUCAGAGAUGAGAAUGUGCCUUCGGGAACCGUGAGACAGGUGCUGCAUGGCUGUCGUCAGCUCGUGUUGUGAAAUGUUGGGUUAAGUUCCCCAACGAGCGCAACCCUUAUCCUUUGUUGCCAGCGGUCCGGCCGGGAACUCAAAGGAGACUGCCAGUGAUAAACUGGAGGAGGGUGGGGAUGACGUCAAGUCAUCAUGGCCCUUACGACCAGGGCUACACACGUGCUACAAUGGCGCAUACAAAGAGAAGCGACCUCGCGAGAGCAAGCGGACCUCAUAAAGUGCGUCGUAGUCCGGAUUGGAGUCUGCAACUCGACUCCAUGAAGUCGGAAUCGCUAGUAAUCGUGGAUCAGAAUGCCACGGUGAAUACGUUCCCGGGCCUUGUACACACCGCCCGUCACACCAUGGGAGUGGGUUGCAAAAGAAGUAGGUAGCUUAACCUUCGGGAGGGCGCUUACCACUUUGUGAUUC
rnacentral:rRNA from 1 species